rfam:Roseovarius sp. HTCC2601 scf_1100011001364 genomic scaffold, whole genome shotgun sequence.
CAUCACUGACGCAUAUCCGGUCCCGGUGCAGUCUCUGCCCCGGGCGCAAGAAGGGAACGCAGUGCGGCACGGGCCAUUCGGUCACGGCCAAUUCUGCGACUGCCCCCGCAACUGUAAGCGGCGAGCAACGGCUGAUCGUGCCACUGGAGCAAUCCGGGAAGGCCAGCCCGCGCGAUGACCCGCAAGUCAGGAGACCUGCCGGAUACGCGCCCCUGGA